CCGCUUAAAAUCGCGUAGAUAGGGCGUCGGACUUCUAAUCCGAAAGUCGCAGGUUCGAAUCCUGCUAGGUCCA
rnacentral:tRNA from 1 species